rnacentral:rRNA from 1 species
UAAUACGAAGGGGGCUAGCGUUGUUCGGAAUCACUGGGCGUAAAGCGUAUGCAGGCGGGUCGUUAAGUGAGAGGUGAAAUCCCGAGGCUCAACCUCGGAACUGCCUUUCAUACUGGCGAUCUUUGAGUCCGGGAGAGGUGAGUGGAACUGCGAGUGUAGAGGUGAAAUUCGUAGAUAUUCGCAAGAACACCAGUGGCGAAGGCGGCUCACUGGCCCGGUACUGACGCUGAGAUACGAAAGCGUGGGGAGCAAACAGGAUUAGAUACCCUGGUAGUCCACGCCGUAAACGAUGGAUGCUAGCCGUCGGCAAGUUUACUUGUCGGUGGCGCAGCUAACGCAAUAAGCAUCCCGCCUGGGGAGUACGAUCGCAAGAUUA